rnacentral:rRNA from 1 species
GUGGGGAAUAUUGGACAAUGGGCGAAAGCCUGAUCCAGCCAUGCCGCGUGUGUGAAGAAGGUCUUCGGAUUGUAAAGCACUUUAAGUUGGGAGGAAGGGCAGUAAGUUAAUACCUUGCUGUUUUGACGUUACCGACAGAAUAAGCACCGGCUAACUUCGUGCCAGCAGCCGCGGUAAUACGAAGGGUGCAAGCGUUAAUCGGAAUUACUGGGCGUAAAGCGCGCGUAGGUGGUUUUGUAAGUUGGAGGUGAAAUCCCCGGGCUCAACCUGGGAACUGCCUCCAAAACUGCAUGACUAGAGUACGGUAGAGGGUAGUGGAAUUUCCUGUGUAGCGGUGAAAUGCGUAGAUAUAGGAAGGAACACCAGUGGCGAAGGCGACUACCUGGACUGAUACUGACACUGAGGCGCGAAAGCGUGGGGAGCAAACAGGAUUAGAAACCCUAGUAGUCC